GAAAAGAGUAAAGGUUAACGAAAAUUAACAAAAUGUAUAUUUUUAACGUUAAUUUGACAAAAGCUGUAUCCCUUCUAGCCAUGAACAGGGCUGUGAUGAAGCCAGGGGAAGUGGCCAUAGGUUAUAUGUCGCCCCCUUGUGGAUAAAUUUGGGACGGCAGGUACAUCAUGUAUUUGGGGAUUUUAACAUGAGAAAAGGAGUCUUUCUGUAUUCCAAAAUCAACCCCUACACCUCCCCAUAGCCAUUUACCCCCGAGGCCUAGACACACUCCCUACCCCUAGCACCCCAAAUACAACCCUGCUAUAGUACACCCACUGCACAGGAGGUUGGUGGCACCUUAAUUGGAGAGAACAGGGUCGUUGUAAGACUGGAGCAGAAUAGGUGGAAUGGUAUCAAAUACAUCAAACACAUGGUUUCCAGGUGUUUGAUGCCAUUCCAUUUAUGCCGUUACAGUUAUUAUGAGCCGUUCUCCCCUCAGCAGCCUCAUGUGACGCACUGAUACAGAAAUACCAGCCCACCAUCAUCAUCGCACACUCACACAUUUUGUAUAAUUUGACCACAAUCUAAGUGAGUUGGUGAAAUAUGUUGCUCUCCCUCCCCCUACUCCACUCUCUUCUCCCUCCUCCCCUCAAUUCAAUUCAAGGGGCUUUAUUGGCAUGGGAAACACAUGUUAACAUUGCCAAAGCAAGUGAAGUAGAUAAUAUACAAAAGUGAAAUAAACAAUAAAAAUUAACAGUAAACAUUACACUCACAGAAGUUACAAAAGACAUUACAAAUGUCAUAUUUUUUAUUUAUUUAACCUUUAACUAGGCAAGUCAGUUAAGAACAAAUUCUUAUUUUACAAUGACGGCCUAGGAACAGUGAGUGGGCUAACUGCCUUGCUCAUGGACUGAUUUUUACCUUGUCAGCGAAAUAAAAAGAAAACAGGUUUUAAGACAUUUUCGCUAACAGAAAAACCUUAUUUACAGAUGUAUUCAGACCCUUUGCUAUGAGACUAGAAAUGGAGCUCAGGUGCAUCCUGCUUCCAUUGAUCAGCCUUGAGAUGUUUCUACAACUUGAUUGGACUCCACAGAAGAACACGAAGCUAGUUUUAGUAUCGGUGAUGAACAUGAAGCUAGUUUUAGUAUCGGUGAUGCCACUUUAUAUUGUAAUACAUUGAGUUCUAUAUCACGUCUGCUGAAUUUUUAUAUCGAUAGACUUUAUUAAAUCAGAAACACACCAUGAGACAGCGUUGUGUUUUAAAUGGUUUAUUCAUUUCCUCCCCAUAAAAAGUAACACUGCAUUGUUUGUUAUUUUUACACAGUCAUGUUUUCUUUCCAGUGAAAUGUCAUAUGUUUUCUACUGUUCUCCGAACUCUAGAGGUCAACCUGCUGGCUUGUGCUGCGGAGACAUUCAACUAUAAAUCACAAGCAAUGUUCCCUCUAAGAUGAAGCACGAGAUUUAACUUCACUCAACUUUCUAGAGUUUUCUCCCUGUAAUUCACUCUCAAUGUUUCCCUUUACUGUGGGAAUUGUCAGAGAAUCAAUGAAAUAUUAACCGCUUUCCAUGUAACAUACCGAAACAAAAUGAACUAUGCAAGACUUAGUAUGCAAAACUAUGCAAGAGAUUGUGUUUUAGGCAGAACCCACCAGAAUAGGAACUAUGACUCGUCCUCUACACAAACCACACAUUGGCUGCUACUGUGGGCUGAAUGAUACAACAGCUAUUUCCAUGUUCAAAUGUUAUGGGAUGCAUUUUCUCCAUUGUUUUGAUGGUAGGCCACUCUGGUAGGCCUACAUUAUGAUCACAUAGCCACAGUAGCCUACUUGACCACUGUCUGAAAAUGUAACUGUAAAGCCGGUACAGCCUCAGUAAACGCGCCGGAAGUUGCACAGAACCUUCACAACAUUCAACAAGUUUGUGCUAAGCAGACCUGAAAUUUGCUCAGCGCCUAAAUUAUUUUAAGGGAACAUUGAUCACAAGAACCAAAACUCCUCCACACUGCUGGAAGAGUAUGACUUAUUAAAUGUUAAAUCCUGUCAACCUUCCAGGUGUCUUUUUACAACCAGGGUUCACCUCAAGACAUCACAAGCCACAGUAGCUUUAUAUUCCUUCAGUUCAAAUAUGUACCUCAUCCUUCCUCACAAAAUGACAGAAAGGAGGGGAGGCGGAAAGGCAGUGUUUGAGUGGAUCUAAACAGGGCCCAAAUCCCUCAUUAAGCACCAGAUAAUAACUAGCAAUUGCAUAAUACAACUGAAGCAGCAACACUGUUCCUUCAUUACCAUCCAUCAAAUAGGAAAAACAUGAUGAAACACUUCCUUUAAAACAUGACAUCACACACAGUAAAGAAAGGCUGCAUCACAAUAUCAUGGAAGACUGAGAACAAGAAAUGCUAAAGUAAUCAAGUGUUACAAACAUGAUUUAAUUCUGUUUCUAAAAACAUUUCAAUGUGGGGUGCUGAUCGAUGGAGUUAAAUGACAAAUCUGAAAGGUUGAAAAAUUAUUGAGGAUAAAUCUUUGUCCCCUGGGCAACCUAACCCAGAGAGAAGGUUCUAAUGUCCUAAAGGCUCUACUGCCCUCUCCUGGUGACAGCCGGUACUACCACAGCCUUCUGAAUGUUCUAAAUAUUCUACCGCCCUCCCCUGGUUACAGACGGUACUACCCCAGCCUUCUGAAUAUUCUAAAGCACAGUCGCUGACUGGUCGAUCUUCAAGGUAUUCUUAGUCAAUCAUCAAACAUGUCUGUAGAAAAGCCAACGAUAAAGGCUCGCUCUCCUUUUUUAUUCAUGUUACACGGUUGUUAGUAGGUGCAUUGAUUCAGAAGCCCUGCACACCGGCUAGGCAAAGUGCUCCCAUUUUGAAACAUUUUAUUUGUCUGAAAAGAUCAACUCCGCCUACUCUAGAGACUGGGAGAUCUGUAGCUAAAUGGAGCGUGCCUGCAGAUCUUCCAGGACCCUUGGCCACAGCAGUUUGAUAGGCUACUAGCCUACAUAACAUUUAAAACAUUUUAGAAUUAUGACCACAGAGAGAGCGUCAUAGAAUAGAGCAAAGAGCCGCUGAGUUUGUGUAUUCAGCACUGUCAACUGUGUUUAUUCAACACUAAUACAAAACAUAAAACGCGCUUCUCCAUACUUCCGCUCACGCUGUAGCUGCAAUGAAUGAGUAGCCAAGUGCAGCGAUAGCCCUGCGUUUUAUCAUUAUUAGCAACUUGUCGUGUCUAUUUUAAUAUCAAGGAAUAUUUCACUUUCUCUGGUCACAGGAACAACAUGAAUUUGUGCAUGAGGCAGAUGCGGUGCGACUCAAGUUUGGCCACCAGGUGGAAGACGGUGUCCCCUCUCUCUGGUCAGUCUCACGGGAGGAAAAGGAGAGAACAGGGACCGUGAGAGGUGAACCCUCUGCUGCUCUUUCUCUCCCUCCAUUGAGACUAAUGCAGUGUUCAAAACAACUGGGAACUUGGAAAUCUCUGCCUUCCGACUUCAGUGUGUUGAAGAAAACUGGGAACUCUGAAUGUUCUUUUUUUAGAUCCGACUGGCAAAAUUUGUUUUGAAGGACAUCCAACUCGGAAUUCCCAGUCGGAAACUCUGGCAUCUUUCUAGAGGUCCGCCUUUCCAACCUGAAGAUCACUGACUUCAUAUUUUUGACCUAGUUUUAUUUUUCUCAAAUUCCCAGUUGUAUUGAAAGCACCAUGACCAUAAGAUGCAGAUAACAUCAGUGCAGUAAAAUAAAAAAGCGAAUUAUUUUAAUUAAUGCUCCACAGUGCCUUGCAAGUGCUACACCAACUGAUCUAUUUUGUUAUCAAGGCUCGAUAUUUAAAAUAAUAUGGUCGAACAACAACAAUAUUGGCAGGCCAGGCACAUAGCCAAUAUGCUGUGAUAAUGUAUUAGGCCAGGCACAUAGCCAAUAUGCUGUGAUAAUGUAUUAGGCCAGGCACAUAGCCAAUAUGCUGUGAUAAUGUAUUAGGCCAGGCACAUAGCCAAUAUGCUGUGAUAAUGUAUUAGGCCAGGCACAUAGCCAAUAUGCUGUGAUAAUGUAU
rnacentral:lncRNA from 13 species